UCCCUGUUAGCUCAGUUGGUAAAGAAUCUGCCUGCAAUGCAGGAGACCCUGGUUUGAUUCCUGGGUCAAGGAA
rfam:TPA: Bos taurus chromosome 18, whole genome shotgun sequence.